rnacentral:lncRNA from 1 species
UAUUUCAUUUUAUAGUACUCACAUACAUGCAUUUCAUAAUACACACAUGUUAUGCAUACAGUCGAACAUACAUAUCUGAUAUAGAUAAUUAAUACACACACAUAUAUAUCCAUUAUACACCACACGUAUAGGUCGUCGGCGCCUCCACAAGCCCGUGUUGCUGGUGUUGAUGUCAUCGUCGUUGCCUCUGCGGCAGCACCGUGACAACACCGUCGUCGUCGCCGCAUCACCGUGAUGAUGUCAUCAUCGUCGCCGCCGUAGCCCCGUGACAAUGUCGAUGCCGUCGUCAUCGUCGCCACCGCAGCCCCGUGACAGUGUCGAAGCCGUCGUCAUCGUUGCCGCCGCAACUUCAUGUCCACGUGUUCCCUACUAAGAACUCACAAAUCCUGGAAUUAAACAAUGAACCAAGACCACUACUAGGAACUCACAAAGAACCUGUAGCAUUAGUACAGUAUAACAGUAACCUAUAGAUCACUAAGUAAUAAUAGCAGAAACAAAAGCAUAUAGCAGCAGCAUAGUAUAUAUAUGAAUUAUAAGUAGUACCAAACAGACCAAUCCUCGAAAUUGGGGAAAACCCAACUUAAGAAGGAUACAAUGCUAGGCAUGACCACGAGUGAAAUGAGAUUUAGACAGCUUUGCUUUCCACCGGCCAGAAGCUAGAUCCACAUCAACCAUUCUCAGCUUCACUGUCAGCGUUUCAAUCUACUAGAUGACCCGUUGUCGAUGGCGCAAAGGGCGAUAAUGAACCAAGGACUAAUAACUUGAUCGAGGAAGAAACUUCAUUUCCUGAAUAGCAUUUGGCAGAUUAGAAUAAAAAUGAAGUACCAUCAGGUGGAUCUCUAAUUUUCACUGAACUAACAAAAACACAUUUUGCACUGCCCGCGUACUACUAUGACUGUCCAUUUGGAGUAGAAUUUGUAAGUGAAUGUUUAUCUACUGCUGCACUCAAGUUAACUUGAAUUGGGUCGGAUGAAUCAGAUACUUCUGCCAUUGGCAUGAACAAGUCAAUAGGGCAUGCACACUAUACUGCCACUUCUGCUUCAGAAGUAAAACUUCUUGUAUCUUUGAUCAUGUUUCUAAGAAAAAGUAUCAAGGGAACCAGCUCUGAGGAUAAAUAAACAACUAAAUUUAGAAGUGUGUACUUUAGGUACCUGUCGGCAACGACAUUGAUCACCUGGUCUUUGCAGAACACAUCCAACUCUUCCUGCGAUCCUGCAACAUGUGGCCACCCCAAGCCUGAGAUCCUCGAUGCUCCAUCCAACCUCUGAGUGGCAAUAAGGCGAAACCAAGAUCGAUGUCAUGAUGAAGCUUUCCAAAAAAAAAAUCUGUUUCUAUGCACUAAGUGUGCCGAACCGCUAAGGAAAAAACAGAUUUUUUGUUAUCAUAUGUAAUCAAAUACUAUGGUAAAUGCAAUGUAUCACCUGUAUGUAGCAACACAUGAUAUAUUUAUUACUACAAAAGUAGGGUGUGCCAAUUACACAGGAUAACUUAGUAGUCUCUUAAGAUGCGUUACACGGGAUAACCAAGCUACAGAAUCAGUUUGCACCAAGCUAGAUUGUGUUCGAAUUUUAUAGGAAGGAUAGUUCGCUAGGAAGUAGGACACAACAUGCAUAGUAGCCAGGCUAAACAGACUUUAUGGGAGUAAACUAAAGUGAUCAAGUAGGUAAAUAUGAAAAGGUGAGCAGAUUGACCACUAUUAUGCUUAGAGUAAGAUUACUAAUUACUAAACAAGCACUACUGUAAUACCAUGCUGAAUCUACAGUGAAUAUGGAUUCAACCUUAGUCAGUCCAACUCUUGGUUGUUGUUAUAAUGAACACUCUGCUACCCAGUCACCGCCAUUUUUACUGUUAUUAUUUAUCUCAUCAUUUAUAUGCCUAUGCAUGAAAAAUAGUAGAAAGUACUGAAAUUGAGCCAAUCUUUGAGAGGAUUGUUACCUUCACACUGAUACCAAGGCUAUCCACAACCAGAAUAGAAGCAAAAUCCACCUGAAAUAACUUACAUAUGUCAUCCCUCAAUAUAUUUAAAUGGAAACAUUAACAUUUCUCUUUUUCUGCAGUUAACAAAUAUCCUGAUACAACUCAAGAUGGUGUGAAGCAGCCAUAUAAUGGUUUUUCAUUGAAAAAAUAGUAAGCUUCAAUGCUACAUUGCUACUGCAUCCUUCUCUCCCAUAUACUUGCUCGAGGAUUUGGUGAAUUUAGCAUCUCACGAGGUUCAGCAAACUGCAGUUAUUAUAGAAUACCAUUACGAUGCAACUAAAAGAACAAUGAUAGGCUGAUUGAAGAAUGAAUUGACUCAGGCCCAUGAUGCAUAUUUAUUGACAUUUGGCCUCAACUUAGCAGCAGUAGUGAGUAGUGGAAGAAGGGGAGGGAGAUGGAGAUGCUACCUGUCGUGGUGGGUCAUCGUGGC